AAUUGGUUAUGUCUUUCUCCAUACAAUAUCUCGACAUUAUUAACGCUAAUAGCUUUUCCCUUGAAUGUGCCCAAAGAUCCAUAUUCAUAGGUCGGUAUUCAUAGGUGGAUCUUAUAUUUAAUACCAUCUUAAGUACUGAAGAUAGUUCAUAUUUAACUCUUUCGCUGACGUAGCGAUUACUUCGUGAGCAACUGUCAUUGCAGCUGUUAUUUAGUCAUUUUGUAACAAUAAUAAUAAUAUUUACGUAUGCAAAAAAUCUUUGUGUGUGAAUAUAAGAUACUGACAACACCGUAUCCAAAAUCUGGAUAUAAGACGUUUUAAAGACAUUAUUAAGACGUCUAAGGCCGGUAUUCAGAGUCGGAUUUUAUUUUAAGACCAUCUUGAGUAAUGUCUUAAGACGCUAAUACGGCUCUGUGAUUAGUUCAUGACAUCUUAGAACUGAACUUACAGGUACUUGAAGUAGGAACAGAGCUUAAUUUAAAGGAUUUUUAGUUAUUAUCUAUUAUU